CUACGGGACGCUCCAGUGGGGAAUAUUGGACAAUGGGCGCAAGCCUGAUCCAGCAAUGCCGCGUGAGUGAAGACGGCCUUAGGGUUGUAAAACUCUUUCGCUAGGGAAGAUAAUGACUGUACCUAGUAAAGAAGUCCCGGCUAACUCCGUGCCAGCAGCCGCGGUAAUACGGAGGGGACUAGCGUUGUUCGGAAUUACUGGGCGUAAAGAGUUCGUAGGCGGACUGACAAGUUAGAGGUGAAAUCCCAGGGCGCAACCCUGGAACUGCCUUUAAAACUGUCAGUCUAGAGACCGGAAGAGGUUAGGGGAAUACCUAGUGUAGAGGUGAAAUUCGUAGAUAUUAGGUGGAACACCAGUGGCGAAGGCGCCUAACUGGUCCGGUACUGACGCUGAGGAACGAAAGCGUGGGGAGCAAACAGGAUUAGAUACCCUAGUAGUC
rnacentral:rRNA from 1 species